AUUGAACGCUGGCGGCAUGCUUUACACAUGCAAGUCGAACGGUAACAGGCCUUCAGGUGCUGACGAGUGGCGAACGGGUGCGUAAUGCAUCGGAACGUGCCCAGAGGUGGGGGAUAACGCAGCGAAAGCUGUGCUAAUACCGCAUGUGAUCUGAGGAUGAAAGCGGGGGACCAGGCAGCAAUGUUUGGCCUCGCGCCUUUGGAGCGGCCGAUGUCAGAUUAGGUAGUUGGUGGGGUAAAGGCCUACCAAGCCGACGAUCUGUAGCUGGUCUGAGAGGACGACCAGCCACACUGGGACUGAGACACGGCCCAGACUCCUACGGGAGGCAGCAGUGGGGAAUUUUGGACAAUGGGCGCAAGCCUGAUCCAGCAAUGCCGCGUGCGGGAAGAAGGCCUUCGGGUUGUAAACCGCUUUUGUACGGAACGAAAAGGCUCUGGCUAAUACCUGGGGCUGAUGACGGUACCGUAAGAAUAAGCACCGGCUAACUACGUG
rnacentral:rRNA from 1 species